rnacentral:lncRNA from 1 species
UUUUAUAUCAUUAGAGUCUCUUAUUCUGCAAGCAAGUAAUUCAACUGAUAAAACAAACAAUAAAGCGCUUAAAGGACAUCCUUGUCGAAUUCCGCGCUCAAUGUUAAAGGUUUCUGAAAUCCACCCAUUAUUUAAAAUACAUCCUUUUAUGUCAUAAUAUAGGGUUUUAACCCACUUCUGAAAUGAUUCAUUAAACCCAAAUUUCUUUAAUGAUUCCAACAUAAAAUCCCAUUCCAGUGAAUCAAAUGCUUUAGAAAAGUCAAUAAAUAAUAUAGCUCCUUCAAUAUUAAAAUUUUCAGAAUAAUCUAUAAUGUCUUGAAUUUGACGCACAUUGAAUCCUAUAUAGCGAUUUUUUAUGUAUCCAUUUUGGUCUCUAUGGAUUAUUAAUGGUAAGAUUUUCUUAAGUCUUUGUGCUAAAGUAUAUGUUAUUAAUUUCACAUCUAUAUUUAAUAAAGUUAUUGGACGGUAGUUAUCCAGGGACAAAGGGUCAUUUUUCUUAUAAAUUAAUGAUAUAAUCCCAAUCUUUUGGGUAUUAGAUAAAGAUUCUUUAUCAUAACAAGUAUUAGAGACUUUCAAAACUAUGUUCUUCAGUUUUGGCCAAAAUUGUCUGUAAAACUCUACAGUUAAACCGUCUUUCCCAGGUGUUUUAUUUAGUUUCAUUUUAAAAAUGGAGGAUGUUAACUCUUCUAGUGUUAAUUUACCAUCUACCUGUUUACUUUCAGAAGAUGUCAAAGAAUGAUUUAUGUUUGUACCUUCAAUAUAUGAUUUUAAGAUUUCAGUAUCAGGGUUGGAGCUUUUGUAUAGGACUUUGUAAUACUCUUUACUCAUAUUAAGAAUUUCACUUUGAUCUACAGUUACCUCCCCAUUUUGGGACAAUAACUUAUUAAUAGAUUUUUUUGAUUGCCUGUGUUUUUCUAAAGAUAAAAAGAAUUUUGUAUUUUUUUCACCUUCCUCAACCCAUUUGAUUCUUGACCUAAUUUGAGCCCCUUUUGCUUUUAAUGAAUAUAUAUGGUCUAGUUCAUUUUCUAAUUGUUUAAUUUCAUUAAAAAGAUUUUUAUUUGUGUCUGUAGGUAAUGUAUCUAACCUAUCGUUUAAAGUUUUAAUUUCGCUUUCCAAAACAUUGAUUUUAUUUUUUCUUUCUUUGGCUUUCGAUUUACAGUAUUUAAUUGUAGUGUCUCUGGUAUCAAUUUUGAACAAGUCCCACUGAGUAAGAAGAUUUUCAUUAUUAAAUUUAUUCUCAUACUUAUCAAUCAAUUUAUUUAUUAUUUCUUGAUAUUGAAAGUCAGCUAAUAUACUAUUAUUCAUUUUAAAGUAACCCUUUCCUCGAUUACUUGAAUAAAUAUCUAAUUUUAAAGAAAUAGCUUGGUGGUCUGUACUUGAAAUUUGAGCUGGUCUGAUGUCAGCUGAUACUGUCAGCAUGCGUACUUGUGAACUUAUUAUAAAAAAGUCAAUUCUACUUGCCUCAUUUGUAGAAUUUUUCCUUUUCCAAGUAUAUUGUUUUUUGGUUUUAUUUAAUAGCCUCCAAAUGUCUAUCAGUUUAUUUGUUUUAAUUACCUGUUUAAGAUUAUUUACUGGUUUUUUAAACUUUUUAUGAAGAUUUUGAUUUUUUGUAUCUAAACUAGAUAGACGGUCAUUCAUAUCUCCUCCUACAAUUAAUGCACCAAGACUGUGCUCUUCAAUUAAACCUUGUACUUUUUUAAAGAAUGUGUUCCUUGCGUGGACUUCAUUUGGUGCAUACAAGUUUAAUAAAGUAAAUAUCUUAUCUUGAAUUUCCAAAUUAAUUAAAAUUAUUCUUCCUUCAUUGUCACAAAAUUCAUUUAUUAAUUUAAAAUCGAGUGUUUUGCGUAUAAAGAAAGAAACACCUCUCGAAUUUGUUUUGCCUAGACUGUGAUGGUGUUUUCCAUGAAAUUCAUUAUUAAUUUUCGUUAUAAUAUCUUUUGAGAAAUGGGUUUCUUGUGCCAUUAAAAUGUCACACUUUUGUUGUUGAAACCAUGUGUAUAGUCUAAAGCGUUUAUCUUUCUUUGCUAACCCUUGACAAUUUAAUGAACAAAUAUGAAGAUUUUUAAUGUUCAUAGUAGUUAGUUGUAUUUGUUGUUAUAGAAAACAGUUCUAAAAAUCCAUUUAAAUGCCAACAGAAGUUUUGCUUAUCGAGCUUGAUCAUGACCCAGAUAAACACCAGGUUAUUUAUAGAUCUAUAUAUAGCAUUGUGAAAGUUUAAAUCUAUUUUUAGUUUCAUUACUGACUUUCCGAAAAUCUCUCUUAAUAGGUAAUUGAAAUGUACCGGAUUUAGAUAGUUUUGAAGUGUAAUUAUUUUGAUGUUAAAAUUGACACUUACGGUAUUUAUAUAAAAUAUGCUACCUUCUACCUUGUAACAAAUUUUCUUUUCUUUUUCAGAUUCAACAUCAAUGAUUGAUGUGUUGACCUUGUAUGAGUUACCACUACCUGAAUUAUUUUUACAGUCAACAUGUGCAUGAUAUGGAAUGUAAACAAAUGAAUAAUUCUAGGAGUAUUUAUAUUUGAAACAUCAUAUACAGGAUUUACAUUGCAAUAUAGUGUGGAUACAUCAUUAUUUUGUGAAAUUGAUAUUCUAACUGAAAUCGAUUUUAACCAUUUAUGGAAAUUUAUAAAUAGACAUACUAGAAGAAUGGACCUUGACAGUAUAUUAAUCCCAAACUUAGAACUAUAAAAUUGAAUUAGUUUACUGCCUAACUGAGAUCCAUAUAAGUGAAUUAUAUUGGACAUAUCAACAAAAUCUUUUAAAGUGAUGCUGAUGCUUUUACAGUUCAUGAAUGCCGUACCAGUUUCAAGCGACUUAUAAACAGUGUUUGUUUCUGAUAGAGUUUUUGUCUCUUUAUUCAAAAGAUUGCUUUUACAUUCUAAACAGUCUUCAUAUAGACUUUUAUCUGUAUUUGAAAUAUUUACCAUAUUUUUAAAUAACUCUUUACAUGUACUUGUAUUUAAAUUUUU